CCGACUACCUCAAAUCUAAGAAAUCACCAUGGAAGGCUGUCAAAUGUCCUGCUCGUUUUUUGGGUGCAAGAGGACCUACAACAGUCCAGAAGCACUGAAUAGUCAUCUUCAGGACCAUCAAAAGAACACUGCCCAGUCUCUUCCAGGGAAAGCUUUCCUGUGCUCUCAUAUAGGAUGCGAUGGUUCAUUCAACAACAUGCAGCAGCUAAUGGAACAUAUGAGACACCAUUACAAGCCAAAUUAUUUUUUCCUGUGCGAGAGCUGCAGGGCCAAACUGCGUUCUUAUCGCACUCUCCUCAAACACCUGCAGACCUGUGCCAAGGUUGCUAAGAACAAGGCUGCAGUAAAGAUAGAGACUGGAAUGGCACCUGACGCAGAGCCCGCCAGUGUUCCUCUCACUUCUGGUGACAUGGAACCAUCUGGACCCCUCUUAUCCCCAAAUGUGCCAGAGGAGAUGGAGUCUAUGCCAUCUAUGCCCACUUUGGCAACACAUUCAACACUGGCAAACAUGCCAGAAAACAGUGCUUUCACUAACCCAACCCCUGCAGGCCCUGCAACUUUGCUCCUUGCCACUCUAAAUCUCGCCUCAAACCAAAAUCUUCCUUGCAAACCAGAAUCCACCUACAGCCCUUUUCCACCCACUCUGUCUCCUGUUAACCCAGCCUUCCUGCCAGAUCCGGGCCUACAGCAGCAGCAGAGGUCUCCUAGAUCUGGUCCUCCCAGUCUGCCCUCUUCACCACCCCUGCCGUCAUCACCAGGAUCAAACGCUGUCUGGAGGAAGAACCAAGAACCGCCCGGGCCCCUUUUGCACAGAUGGAACUCUCCAAGCAGUCAGAGUUUAAGUAGAGAUGAAGUCCAGGUCAGUCCUUCAACUGCCGCAUCCUGUGGGAACACACAAGAGGGCGAUACAGCUGCCUACAGUGUGGCCACUGCACCCCAGACCGGGGGGAGAUGACUGCUCACAUUGAGGGCCAGCACAAGAACCCAGGGGGCAAAGUGAACGGUGAUCCUGAUACAGAGAUUGGCACUGCUUCUUUACUGGCUAAGACUUCACUGCACACUGAGAACUCAACUUAUACACAACUCUAGCAUGAAAUGAGACACGAAACCUGAUGCUUGACAAAUAACUUUUGUGAUCCCUUUUUAUAUAUGCAACUCAAUGUUUUCAUUUGACUGUCUGUGUGGACUUCAAGAAUCUCUAUUGGUCUGGAUGUUAUAAUAACAAUUAGCACCAAGUUCUGCA